CAGCAGCCACGGGAAUACGUAGGGCGCAAGCGUUAUCCGGAAUUAUUGGGCGUAAAGAGCUCGUAGGCGGUUUGUCGCGUCUGCCGUGAAAGUCCGGGGCUCAACCCCGGAUCUGCGGUGGGUACGGGCAGACUAGAGUGAUGUAGGGGAGACUGGAAUUCCUGGUGUAGCGGUGAAAUGCGCAGAUAUCAGGAGGAACACCGAUGGCGAAGGCAGGUCUCUGGGCAUUAACUGACGCUGAGGAGCGAAAGCAUGGGGAGCGAACAGGAUUAGAUACCCCCGUAGUCCCUGUCUCUUAUAA
rnacentral:rRNA from 1 species